rnacentral:rRNA from 1 species
UACGAAGGGGGCUAGCGUUGCUCGGAAUCACUGGGCGUAAAGCGCACGUAGGCGGAUUGCUAAGUCAGGGGUGAAAUCCUGGAGCUCAACUCCAGAACUGCCCUUGAUACUGGCGGUCUCGAGUCCGGGAGAGGUGAGUGGAACUGCGAGUGUAGAGGUGAAAUUCGUAGAUAUUCGCAAGAACACCAGUGGCAGAAGGCGGCUCACGUGGCCCGGUACUGACGCUGAGACGCGAAAGCGUGGGGAGCAAACAGG